UAGAAUUAUGGAAUCAAGUUAUAACCUUGGACCAGACACAUUAUACAGUGUAAUAGACAAGGCCAUGUCAGAAAACACAAGUCAGGGGGAAUAUUACAGCCAUGAUCAAUUUGUAAUUGAAGCGUCAGACAUAUUCCUUUCAAAGGUCAAACAAUUGCACUAGCAAAAUUUUAGAGAAAAUUCAAGAAUUGAUGCCAGACAAUUGUAGAAAGCGAGAUUGUCAAGCUAUGUAAAGUAAGAAGUCAAGAUCUUACAGUGGCUGCAGCUAAAGGAAAUAUGAAUUCCUAAUACUGGACUGUGAUUGCUGAUAAUGUAAAUUAAAAAAGUAAAAAUCUUUUUUUUUUUUUUCUCCAUUAGAUGUCACCUGGCACAUCAUUAAAUGUUACCUGGUUAUUUGUUUUCACUUUGAGCAUGACUUAAAACAUGUACCUGAUGUUGAUAAUAUUGUAAUUACCAGUAUUGAAUAGUUUAGGUUACACAC
rnacentral:sRNA from 1 species